ensembl:lncRNA
AAAAUAGCAGGAAAAACAAGUGACAAACCAGUCUAGUGUUGGAAGUGUUCUAGUUUACAGAACUGGAGUCAAGUCCCAGUGAGCAAAUCUUUCUAUUCCCCACUCUGCGCUGGAGAUAUGAAACCAGUAGGAGACUACUCUUCCAGCCAGGAGUGACUACCACCUCCACAAGGGAAGCUUUAGGAAGCGUGACCCAUCAUAGCAGAGAGAGGUGUGGGGUUAUGGACUCUUUAAACACAUUAACCCUUACAGCUCAACAAAGAGCUUCACCUAAUAAAAACUCAUGAGGACUUUAUGAAAACAGAAUAGGACUUUCAGUAACCAGAAGCUCCGUGACUUCACAGGUAUUGGGAAAUCCCAGUGAAGAAACUCCUGCCAAUGCAGAUCAGCACCUGUUUUAUGGCCAAAGAGCCUUAGAGUUGUAAUCCACUAUGACCUUCCCAGGCUCUCUCAUUCUGUGUUUGGGAAGUAGAUUUCUUGACCAAGACGGAAUUAAGUGGGGAGGAGAGCAGGAUGCAACGCUUCUGAGAAGCCGGCCCCUUCGCCGCCUGCCGAUGGAGCCUGCCUUUUGAGCAUCACGAUUUUCCAGGUGAUCACUGAUUAGGGAACACCAGUCCCAGAAGAACCAUAGCAGUGGAUGAAUCAGAGAUGAGCUAAUUAUCCUCCCACAUCCCCCAGCACCUAUUAGGGCAGCAUGUUAGUAAUGAUUAGUGCUGGAGAAGAACAGUCCAAAGCUUCUAGAAGACAAGCAGGGUCACAAAUGAAGAGGUGCUGAUCUCGAUAGGAGCAGGUCAAGGGACUUUGGGUGGGGCAGACAGAAGAUCACACUGGAUCCUAUGGAAAUUUUGAGAGACCCAGCAGAAGACCCGGGGCUUAUUUUCUGGGUCCUCUUUGCCCGGUUUAUGACAAGACCUGGGCAAAGAGGCUCAUAGGAGGAGAAGGCGUGGGCAAGUUGUGAACUGCACCAGUGGAGACAAUCUGCCUCCAAGAAGCACCGUGUUUGGCAGGGAGUUGAUCAACAAAUAUUUUUUACUGUGUGUUGGGGCAACAGAGAUAAAAGCAAAAUGGGCCCUCCCCGCCCUUGAGAAUUCACAUUUUAAAUAAAAAAAGAAUAAUAAUAAUAAAAUGACAUUUUAAUGGGGAAGACAAACGAACAUACAAAUGUAUACAGAAUAUUUGAAUUUAAUAAGAAGAAAGGAAAUACAUUUAUUGAGCACCUACUAUGUGCCAGACGCAGUGCUAGGCACUUUACAGAUAUUAUCUUGUAACUUGAGAAGUAGCUGCUCUUAGCCCCAUUUUACACUGGAUGAAAUUGAGUUAAACAGAUGAAGUGAAUUGCUUAGGGUCACGCAACUGGCGAAUGGCUGAGAUCUGCCUGAUUCCAGGCCCCAUGGGACCACCUUCUACCCUAGCUUGAGGGGAUCUGAGUGAAAGGUAGCAUUUGGGCAGCAUCUUAAGGAAAAAGAGGAGACCCUGGGGAGGAAAGUGAGCCUUCAUCCCAGGCCUAGGGUGUCCAGGGCAGGGGCAGGAGCCCAUGGUGGAGGAGAGAGGAGGCUGGUUUGGCUGGAUCCCAGUGAGUGGGAGGAAGGAGGCAUGUGCGAUGAGGCUGGAAACAAAGGUGGGGUCCAGGGUGUGUGUGGCCUUACAGGCUGAACAGAG